GACGAACGCUGGCGGCGUGCUUAACACAUGCAAGUCGAACGGAAAGGCCAUGCUUUUGUGGGGUGCUCGAGUGGCGAACGGGUGAGUAAAACGUGAGUAACAUGCCCUUGACUUUGGGAUAACUUCAGGAAACUGGGGCUAAUACAGGAUAGGAGCUCCUGCUGCAUGGUGGGGGUUGGAAAGAUUCGGCGGUUGGGGAUGGAAUCGCGGCUUAUCAGCUUGUUGGUGGGGUAGGGGCUUACCAAGGCUUUGACGGGUAGCCGGCCUGAGAGGGUGACCGGCCUCAAUGGUACUGAGGGACGGCGCAGUCUCCUACGGGACGCAACAGUGGGGAACAUUGCACAAUGGGCGGGAGCCUGAUGCAGCAGUCCCGCGUUCGGGAAACUGGCCUACUGGUGGAAAACCGCUGUCUCCGUUGACGAACCCGGCUUGACGGUAAUUGGUAAAAAAGCACCGGCUAACUACGUG
rnacentral:rRNA from 1 species